rnacentral:sRNA from 1 species
CGUCAAGUACCGUUCUAAUGGAUGCUCGAGGGGGCUCUUGUUGAGUGGUUCGCUCUCCUUUUCAAAAAGGCUGCUCAUCUGUAUUCUCUCCAUUUCAACCAGCUGACUCGCAUGUCUCGAGUGGGUUUCCGGACUCUAAGGAAAGUUGAUAAGUAAACAUUAUUAGCAUGCUUAAGUGGGUGGGAAUAUACCGGUUUAUAGAGCUUAUUAUGCAGUGCCAACCUCUCCUCGGUCAACUCGAGUUUCUCAAGUUUACUCAUGUUUGAAUGAGAGAAUACACGUUUAAAUGGAAGAACUUGGGUUUAGAGCUCGAUAGAUGUGCCGGUAUCAUGAAACUUAAACAAGAUGAUAGAGGAAGUUGAAAGGGU